CAGGAAAUUCACAACUCUUUGGGAGCUAUAUUGUGACUUUAACAGUGCUUAAUCAAAACCUGUCACAAAAAUCUUUAGGGUAGGGAUAAAAAUAAAGGUAGGUAAGGGUAGUGCGGUUAACACACAUACUUUUUAGUUGGCAUAAAUGUACAGUAGUUUUCGUAUGUUUAUGUAAUUUAUACGUGUUUCUUGUUUCUCCUUUUUUUUUAUAUAGAUUAGACCAUUGAUUUUCCUGUUCGAAGGGUUUUACACUAGUAAUUUAGGGGUCCUUUAUCAUGUUUAUAGCUUGUUGUUCCGUGUGAGCCAAGGCUCUGUGUUGAAGGCCGUCCAUUGACCUAUAAUGGUUUACUUUUACAAAUUGUUAUUUGGAUGGAUAGUUGUCUCAUUGGCACUCAUACCACAUCUUCCUAUAUCUAUCUACUGAAUGUUUUUCUAUUUCAAUGGGUUGUAUUUAAAAAAAAAAGGGAUUUGAAGCAACCAUUAUUUUUAAAUUAGGAGAAAAAAAACAGAGUCAAUGGACUCUAUUGACAAUUUGGCAAACAAACUCAGGGCGAACAGACCUGAUACCGGAGGGCUUUGUAAUAGAAUAUAUAUUUAUCAUGAUUAUUAUAGAUUUCU
rnacentral:lncRNA from 1 species